GUGGGGAAUAUUGGACAAUGGGAGCAAGCCUGAUCCAGCCAUGCCGCGUGAGUGAUGAAGGCCCUAGGGUUGUAAAGCUCUUUCACCGGAGAAGAUAAUGACGGUAUCCGGAGAAGAAGCCCCGGCUAACUUCGUGCCAGCAGCCGCGGUAAUACGAAGGGGGCUAGCGUUGUUCGGAAUUACUGGGCGUAAAGCGCACGUAGGCGGACAUUUAAGUCAGGGGUGAACUCCCGGGGCUCAACCCCGGAACUGCCUUUGAUACUGGGUGUCUGAAGUAUGGAAGAGGUAAGAGGAAUUCCGAGUGUAGAGGUGAAAUUCGUAGAUAUUCGGAAGAACACCAGUGGCGAAGGCGACUGACUGGACAAGUAUUGACGCUGAGGUGCGAAAGCGUGGGGAGCAAACAGGAUUAGAUACCCGGGUAGUCC
rnacentral:rRNA from 1 species